rnacentral:lncRNA from 1 species
CAGGAAAGGGCCCUGACAAGAGGAUGGGACUGCAGUUGUGGCUGCCAGGUUGGAGUGCAGUGGCACGAUCUCGGCUCAGUGCAACCUCCGCCUCCUGAGUUCAAGUGAUUCUCCUGCCUCAGCCUCCCUAGUAGCUGGGAUUACAGGACAAGGAGAGGGACAAAUUCCUUCUUGGCAUCCUUAUGGCCCUGUGACCUGCUAAUGAAUGCUGACUCUGAGUUGCUACUAGAAUUUGGUUUCCUUGUGGCUUCCCAGGAAUUGGUCUCACUCUGCUCACUCUGUCUCCCAAGCUGGAGUGCAGUGGUACAGUCACGGCUCACUGCAGCCUCCACUUCCUGGACUCAAGUGAUCUUCUCACUUCAGCCUUCUGAGUAGCUGGGACUACAGGUAGACCCAGUGUAAUCACAAGCAUCCUUGUAAGUGGCAAAGAGGCAGAGGAGACAGCGCCAGAGAGGCAGCUGCAUGAGAAGGAUCAAGAUGUUGCUGACUUUGAAGUUGGAAGAAGAAGGCCAUGAGCCUCAGUAUGUGGGCGGCUUCUAGAAGCUGGAAGGGGCAAGGAGAUGGAUUUGACCCUUCAGCCUCCAGGGGCAGCUGUACCUGCCAUCACUGAUUGUAGCCUGGUGAGGCCUGUUUUAGACUUCUGACCUGUAGAGCUGUAACAUAAUACAUUUGGGUUGUUUUCAACCACUAAGUUUGUGGUAAUUUGUUGUAGCAGCUGUAGAAAAUGAAUACAUAUGAAUCCUCUGGCAUUUGUUUGAGAUUUGCUCUAUGGCCUAGUAUGUGGUUGUAAAUGUUCCAUCUGUGCCUGAAAAAAUGUAUAUUUCUAAUUCAGUAGUCUCUGCUUUUUUUUUUUAUUUUGUACCCCAUCAAUAAAAUGAUUUUCAGCAUGUAUCCCCAAAUAAACAAUAUUUUAUUUAUUGAUUGAUUGAUAAACAGA